rnacentral:rRNA from 1 species
UACGUAGGGGGCAAGCGUUGUCCGGAUUUAUUGGGCGUAAAGAGCGUGUAGGCGGCUUUACAGGUCCGUUGUGAAAACUCGAGGCUCAACCUCGAGACGCCGGUGGAAACCGUAAGGCUAGAGUCCGGAAGAGGAGAGUGGAAUUCCUGGUGUAGCGGUGAAAUGCGCAGAUAUCAGGAAGAACACCUAUGGCGAAAGCAGCUCUCUGGGACGGUACUGACGCUGAGACGCGAAAGCGUGGGGAGCGAACAGG